CAGCUUAAGAAAUCUGCAAACUGAUCUGCACUAUCUACUUUGUCUCUCAAUUUUUUAGUCAUAAAAAGAUUACAAUAUAAGUCAUUUGUUUUCACUAAACACACCUAACCCCACUAAUCUGCCUAGUAACAAGUGAAACAUAACUUGAAGACAUGCUGAUUUAUCUAAAUCAGUACCUAAACACCUGAAGUAAUUUACCAACUUAGCUCAUUUACAGCUAAAUAACAUAACAAAAGAACUAGUAAUGAAACUAAAAGCUAAGCAGCAUACACACGUGCUGCAUGCAUGUGUGCAAACUAUGACAGUUACAUGCAAACACCAAAAAAACAACCAGCUGCAUGGAUGGUCAUCUUCAACACUCCUCAUUGGCCUCCAUGUUGCUCACACCAUUCAUCUUCCUUAAAUAUUCAAACCUGACCUUUCCAAAUGGCUUGGUCAGUAUAUCAGCCAGUUAGCAUCUUGGCCAGCUCGCAUUUUGAUGAGCUCGCAUUUUGGUGAGCUCGCACUUUUGUAGCUCGCUUUUCAUUCAACUUGCAGCUUGCACUUUGCACAGUUCGCACAUUUUUCAACUCACACUUUUGCUGAGUUCAAAACUUGCAUUUUGGUGAGCUCGCACUUCACCCUGUUGCUUGCUACUGCAUGAUUGGCCAACUUGCAACACUCCUUCUUGACCAUUUUACAGCAAGCACCAAUGUUAGUUUUCUUGUGCAACUUUUUUAAAAAUUGCAAGCUGCAACACUACUAAGUCACAUCUGUGAUAAGUUUCAACAAUAGGCCUGAUGCCUUUAAUAGGAAGGUCAUCAAAGUCUUCAUCUUCAGCUUCAUCUUCAACUUUAGUCAUAUCCUCAAUCAAAUUUGACUUGAACAUCUGACUGAUAUGUGAUUCAUCCACUGAACUGGUAUAGGCCCUCGAUGCCACAAAGUUCCAAUCCAACACAAAGCUUCUAUUAUUCAUUGAGACUAUCAUAACUUCCUAUCCCAAUGAAUC
rnacentral:lncRNA from 1 species